GUGGCUGACAGCUUGUCAUGUACAUCUGAAGACUUGUCUGAGCUCAAUGUGGCUGGUGAGAAAUCUCCUCAGUACUAUACACACUGGGACGAAAGGGGCCUGGAGAGUUUACCUGAAUUUCCCAACUUUGCUAGUUGGUUCUAGUGAAGGACUCUGCUUUUUCCUACAAAACUUGUCCAGUUUAUUCAUCCAUAAACCACCUCAGCUACUGUGCUUCUGGCAAUCCACUGGAAUGCAGCUGUUCCCAGUUGCAACGGUAAAGCAUUAGUGCUGGUCCCAGACAGUUAGCACUGAGGAGAAAACGGGGACAAAAACCCAGUCCUUAGAAAAAAGGCACAAUGAAGAGCCAGAAGCCUCCUGCCAUUGUGUUGAGGUUGAAUCCAGGAACUCACUGAUCACCCUUGGGCAAAGUCACUCACUUGUCAUACCAACCCUGAUCAAAACUGAAUGAAGAAAAAUAAAAAAAACAUGCCCCCUCUUCCCCCAGGAUUUUAAUUGGAAUUCAGGAACUGCAUCCAUAUGAGUCUUCUUAUAGUCAGGUAUUGUGAUAAAUAAUAACACAUAAGCAGAAUUUCUGGUAUCUCACAUCCUAUUUCUGAAGGUCGUUGACAUUGGAUGCCAGCUUCAGUGAGAAGUUAAAGGAGAAAUACACAAUCUAUUACAGGCCCCAGGGGAGAGAGCAUGGUGGAUUCAGACCCAAGACAGGGACAACUCUGUGCCUUUCAUCCUUGGCUGCAGGACAUCAUUCAUGCUCAGCUGCUCUUCUGUCUUGUCUGCUAAUUGCAUCUGGUAGACACAACUGCAGCAGCAGCUGAGCUUUACUGCUCAUCACUGUGAAGCUUUCUCCCCUCUGAGCUCUGCUUAUACAUAGUUAUUUACCUAAAUGUUUGCCUUUUGCAGACUUGCCUUGGACAAAACACUUUCCCUUUGUCACAACAAAUCUGUAUUUUGAUGUAUUGAUGUUGUAUAGAAACACGUUAUUCAUAACACAACACCUGCCCCUUGCACCACACAAUGUCAUUAUGUAAAUAUGAGACUCAAAGCACCUUGUUUUGGGGGAUGAAGUUGCUUAAAUUGCUGUCUGAAAAAGAUAUUCAUAGUCUAUUUAGUCUCCUUUCUUCCUUUCAUGAAUCAUUCAUAAACUGAUCAUAAGUUCUGCAAAUAUAUCAUUAAUCACAACUUUCACUUAACGGUUUUGAAUGAAAUUAUACCUUUAGGGUGUUCGUAAGCAGUUCACAUCAACAAUUUACCAGUUGCUUACAACUGGUGAUUGGGCAGUCACAGCAUGGGCCCCUCAGAGAACUGAAACUCUAUCAGUUAGAGCCUAAAAAAUCAUGAGUGAUGUGAUGACAUGUGGAUUUUGUUGGAAAAAAAUCUGUUGGAAAAAAUACCCUCAAUUAUUUCUAAAGACUGGUCUCCAGCUGUCUGUGUUCUGAAUGAGUCUCUUUGCCUUAGUUUUAGGUGGCUUUUCUGCUCCUUGGUGUGAGACAGCUUGAAGCCAUCCCAUACAGAAGCCAUCCGUGGGGCUCUUGAAAAAACAAUAACUGUGAAGGCAUGAGGUCAGGCUUUCUUAUGGAUAGUCACUUAUGCACAAUGGCACUCAGAUGUGUGGACUGAUAGCCCUUCUCAGGUGAAUUGGAAUUGUUUUGGAGAGAGAAGAAAGAGAUCCAUGGGGAAGCUGGUAGUACCUAAUGGCCUAGGCAGGCUGGAAAGUGCUGACUGUAGUCGCCUCUCAUCUUUGUGUAAAUAGUAUGGCUGGUUUUCCUGCUUCACAGAAGCCAGGAGCAGCUCUGUUAACUCCCUUGCAAAUAAGAACAGAGUCAGGCCGUUUAUUUGCAAGGACUGUUUAUUGCUUAGGUAAUAAAACCAAUUACGACAGUUUUUCUGAAUUAAUUCUUAAUUUGCUUUUGUGACAUUUCUAAAUGCCAGAAAAAGGUUGAAGAAAUUAUUUGUAAUUAAUAAAUAGCACCAGGAGAUUUGCAAUUUAUUUUUUUUUUACACUUUAUUAAAAGAUAAGGAAAUCUUGUGUAUGCUCCUCAGCUGUAGGGAUUCAACUUUACUUGCUAUGUAAAUGAAGAGGCAUAUUAGAAACAUAGAACAUUGUUCAGUGGGCUUUUUUUGUCUGAUUUCCAGUGUGUGCAUCAGGACUGUUUGGGAAGAGACAAUUUUAUCUGAAUUGCAUUUUCUUUCUCCGUCCUGAAGUCUUUAAAAGGGCUUCUUCAGAUAAAAUUGCUGCUCAAAUAUUUAACUUAAAUAUGCUAAGUAACUGUAGCCUCUCAGUAGCCCACACACAAACUCCACUUCCAUACUUUUAUCAUGAUGAUAAAAGCAAAUCUAGUGAUCUAUUCCAUUCAACUAUUGAAUAAAAAUAUCUCUGAAGUCUCUCUUUGUGUAAAUGCCAAAAAGAUGGAUGCAAAUGUUGAUUGGUGAAAGCAAUUCAGGGUAGUC
rnacentral:lncRNA from 1 species